rnacentral:rRNA from 1 species
UAGGGAAUCUUCCGCAAUGGACGCAAGUCUGACGGAGCAACGCCGCGUGAGUGAAGAAGGAUUUCGGUUCGUAAAACUCUGUUGUUAGAGAAGAACAGCGCAUAGAGUAACUGUUAUGCGUGUGACGGUAUCUAACCAGAAAGCCACGGCUAACUACGUGCCAGCAGCCGCGGUAAUACGUAGGUGGCAAGCGUUGUCCGGAUUUAUUGGGCGUAAAGCGAGCGCAGGCGGUCAAUUAAGUCUGAUGUGAAAGCCCCCGGCUCAACCGGGGAGGUGCAUUGGAAACUGGUUGACUUGAGUGCAGAAGAGGAGAGUGGAAUUCCGUGUGUAGCGGUGAAAUGCGUAGAUAUAUGGAGGAACACCAGUGGCGAAGGCGACUCUCUGGUCUGUAACUGACGCUGAGGCUCGAAAGCGUGGGUAGCAAACAGG